rnacentral:rRNA from 1 species
CAAUAGCAUAUAUUAACUUUGUUGCAGUUAAAAGGCUCGUAGUCGAAUGUAUGGCUGGGUCGACCUGAUCCGUUGUCAAGUACAACGAGUGUCGGUGUCGGCGAGUCAUCCUGAUGGAAAGCACUGCUGCCCUUGAUUGGGUUGGUUGCCUGUGAUCCAUCUCGUUUACCGUGAGUAAAUCAAAGUGUUCAAAGCAAGCUGAGAAGCUUGAAUGUUCUAGCAUGGAAUAAUAAGAUAGGACUUGGGUUCUAUUUUGUUGGCUUUCGGAACUCUUGUAAUGAUCGAUAGGGAUGGUCGGGGGUGCUCGUAUUGAACGGUCAGCGGUGAAAUGCGUAGACCCGUUCAAGACGAACUAGUGCGAAAGCAUUCACCAAGGACAUCUNCUUUGA